rnacentral:rRNA from 1 species
AUUGAACGCUGGCGGCAUGCUUUACACAUGCAAGUCGAACGGUAACAGGUUAAGCUGACGAGUGGCGAACGGGUGAGUAAUGCAUCGGAACGUGCCCGAUCGUGGGGGAUAACGCAGCGAAAGCUUCGCUAAUACCGCAUACGAUCUGAGGAUGAAAGCGGGGGACCGUAAGGCCUCGCGCGAUCGGAGCGGCCGAUGUCAGAUUAGGUAGUUGGUGGGGCAAAGGCCCACCAAGCCGACGAUCUGUAGCUGGUCUGAGAGGACGACCAGCCACACUGGGACUGAGACACGGCCCAGACUCCUACGGGAGGCAGCAGUGGGGAAUUUUGGACAAUGGGCGAAAGCCUGAUCCAGCAAUGCCGCGUGCAGGAAGAAGGCCUUCGGGUUGUAAACUGCUUUUGUACGGAGCGAAAAGGUCCUUUCUAAUACAAGGGGCUCAUGACGGUACCGUAAGAAUAAGCACCGGCUAACUACGUGCCAGCAGCCGCAGUAAGAC